rnacentral:rRNA from 1 species
CGUCCGCGGUUUUAUAGCGAUGAAGUCGAACGGUAGGGCGGUCCCUGGAACCGGCCUGAGAGUGGCGAACGGGUGAGUAACGCGUAGAUAAUCUGCCUUUUGGUUGGGGAUAGCCCAUGGAAACAUGGGGUAAUACCGAAUACGAUCCUGCGCUGUAAUGAGCGCAGGAUGAAAGGGGCUUCGGCCUCGCCGAGAGAUGAGUCUGCGUCUGAUUAGCUUGUUGGUGGGGUAAAAGCGUACCAAGGCGACGAUCAGCAGCCGGCCUGAGAGGGUGACCGGCCACAUUGGGACUGAGACACGGCCCAGACUCCUACGGGAGGCAGCAGCUAAGAAUCUUCCGCAAUGGGCGCAAGCCUGACGGAGCGACGCCGCGUGGGUGAAGAAGGCCGAGAGGUUGUAAAACUCUUUUCUCAUAGAAGAAUAAGCCUGGGAGGUAAUGCCCGGGUGAUGACGUUAUAUGAGGAAUAAGCACCGGCCAUUUACGUGCCAGCAGCCGCGGUAACACGUAAGGUGCGAGCGUUGUUCGGAAUUAUUGGGCGUAAAGGGCUCGUAGGCGGCCUGCCAAGUCUCUCGUGAAAGACCGGGGCUCAACCCUGGGAACGCGAGGGAAACUGGUAAGCUGGGAUCUUGGAAGGGGUACUGGAAUUCCUAGUGUAGGGGUGAAAUCUGUUGAUAUUAGGAAGAACACCGGAGGCGAAGGCGAGUACCUGGCCGAAGAUUGACGCUGAUGAGCGAAAGCGUAGGGGAGCGAACAGGAUUAGAUACCCUGGUAGUCUACGCCGUAACGAUGUGCACUUGAUGGUGGGACCGGUUCGGUUUCACUGUCGGAGCUAACGCAUUUAAGUGCACCGCCUGGGG